rnacentral:rRNA from 1 species
AUUGAACGCUGGCGGCAGGCCUAACACAUGCAAGUCGAACGAGUGGCGGACGGGUGAGUAAUGUCUGGGAAACUGCCCGAUGGAGGGGGAUAACUACUGGAAACGGUAGAUAAUACCGCAUACCAUCGGAUGUGCCCAGACGGGAUUAGCUAGUAGGUGGGGUAAUGGCUCACCUAGGCGACGAUCCCUAGCUGGUCCGAGAGGAUGACCGGCCACCCUGGAACUGGGACACGGUCCGGACUCCUACGGGAGGCAGCAGUGGGGAAUCUUGCACAAUGGGCGCAAGCCUGAUGGAGCAAUGCCGCGUGUAUGAGGAGGGCCUUCGGGUUGUAAAGUACUUUCAUCGAGGAGGCGUUACUCGAAGAGAAAGCACCGGCUAACUCCGUGCCAGCAGCCGCGGUAAUAC